CGGCGCACAUAAGACAUGCAAGUCGAACGGAAGUCGUUACAAUAGAAGUGGAUUGAAGAUUAUCAGAUUGAAGCGGAAGCUGUAACAAUGGCUUUAGUGGCGGACUGGUGAGUAACACGUAAGUAACCUGGCUAUUAGAGGGGAAUAACAGUGAGAAAUCAUUGCUAAUACCGCAUAAGCUUGUAGGAUCGCAUGAUCCAGCAAGAAAAGGAGCAAUCCGCUAAUAGAUGGGCUUGCGGCUGAUUAGCUAGUUGGUUAGGUAACGGCUGACCAAGGCGACGAUCAGUAGCCGGGCUGAGAGGCUCAUCGGCCACAUUGGGACUGAGAUACGGCCCAGACUCCUACGGGAGGCAGCAGUCGGGAAUAUUGCGCAAUGGAGGAAACUUCUGACGCAGUGACGCCGCGUAUAGGAAGAAGGUUUUAGGAUUGUAAACUAUUUUAGACAGAGAAGAAAACAGACGGUACCUGUAGAAUAAGCUCCGGCUAACUACGUGCCAGCCGCUGC
rnacentral:rRNA from 1 species